UACGUAGGUCCCGAGCGUUGUCCGGAUUUAUUGGGCGUAAAGCGAGCGCAGGUGGUUUAUUAAGUCUGGUGUAAAAGGCAGUGGCUCAACCAUUGUAUGCAUUGGAAACUGGUAGACUUGAGUGCAGGAGAGGAGAGUGGAAUUCCAUGUGUAGCGGUGAAAUGCGUAGAUAUAUGGAGGAACACCGGUGGCGAAAACGGCUCUCUGGCCUGUAACUGACACUGAGGCUCAAAAGCGUGGGGAGCAAACAGG
rnacentral:rRNA from 1 species